UACGUAGGGUGCAAGCGUUGUCCGGAAUUAUUGGGCGUAAAGAGCUCGUAGGCGGUCUGUCACGUCGGCUGUGAGAACCCGAGGCUCAACCUCGGGCCUGCAGUCGAUACGGGCAGACUAGAGUUCGGUAGGGGAGACUGGAAUUCCUGGUGUAGCGGUGAAAUGCGCAGAUAUCAGGAGGAACACCGGUGGCGAAGGCGGGUCUCUGGGCCGAAACUGACGCUGAGGAGCGAAAGCGUGGGGAGCGAACAGG
rnacentral:rRNA from 1 species